GGAGCAAUCCAUUAGUAGAGUGGCGAACGGGUGAGUAACGCGUGGGUGACCUACCUUCGAAUGGGGGAUAACGUCCCGAAAGGGACGCUAAUACCGCAUGACAUCCUGCCUUUGAACAGGUGGAGAUCAAAGCCGGGGAUCGCAAGACCUGGCGUUUGGAGAGGGGCCCGCGUCUGAUUAGCUAGUUGGUGAGGUAACGGCCCACCAAGGCGACGAUCAGUAUCCGGCCUGAGAGGGCGGACGGACACACUGGGACUGAGACACGGCCCAGACUCCUACGGGAGGCAGCAGUGGGGAAUUGUUCGCAAUGGGCGCAAGCCUGACGACGCAACGCCGCGUGGAGGAUGAAGGUCUUCGGAUUGUAAACUCCUGUUGCCAGGGACGAAAAGCUCCGACCUAACACGUCGGAGUCUGACGGUACCUGGUGAGGAAGCCCCGGCUAACUCUGUGCCAGCAGCCGCGGUAAUACAGAGGGGGCGAGCGUUGUUCGGAAUUACUGGGCGUAAAGGGCGCGUAGGCGGCCCGCUAAGUCGAACGUGAAAUCCCCGGGCUCAACCCGGGAACUGCGUCCGAUACUGGCAGGCUUGAAUCCGGGAGAGGGAUGUGGAAUUCCAGGUGUAGCGGUGAAAUGCGUAGAUAUCUGGAGGAACACCGGUGGCGAAGGCGGCAUCCUGGACCGGUAUUGACGCUGAGGCGCGAAAGCCAGGGGAGCAAACGGGA
rnacentral:rRNA from 1 species